rnacentral:snRNA from 1 species
ACGUCGGCGGGGGCCUCGG